UUUGUUUCUUCCCAGUCAAGAAACUCUUGAGCCAUUUUCCAGUCUUCCCCAUCUCUGUCACGGAAAUGGAUCCCUUUGUGGCUGUCUCAAACCAGGAGCAUACGUUACAAGGGAGAAAGCAACAAAUGAAUUGAGGGAUGAAGGGUACCAAACCGGUAUACUUAUUCCUGUUUCUCUAUCUUCGUCUCGUGGUUUCUACUAUCUGAUAAGUAGCUUUCAUCGCCA
rnacentral:lncRNA from 1 species